UGUGUAUGUGUGUGUGAGGCACUUGCUAUGAAAGGUUUCUCCUCUCUCAGGUUUUCGUGUGCAAUCACGUGACUGAUCCAUGCGUGGUCCAAUGGCAACCAAAACACACCAUGAUUUACCAAACCCAUUCCUAAUCCAUAAAUUGUUUUGUCUAAUAAAUAGCAAACAGAGUAUAGGUGGCAACAAAAAUAGCAGUUUUGCAUAUUCCUAUUCAAAUCAAGUUGGGAUUUGGCAGAGUACUGUUUUACUUUCCAGAGUGUAAAAAAUAAAUCCAUGGACUUCAGAAAAGCAUCUGGUGUUCCAGCGUAUCGCAGCUGUCAGCUUUGAAAGAUGCCAUGUGUUUGCCCACAUAAAAGAAUGUAAUGAGCUAUGGAAAUAUUAUCCGGUUUCAUGAACCAGAAUAAAAACUCCAUCAUCAGUAGGCUGAAAGUAGGAGCUAUUUUAAUCCAUCAGGAACAUAUCUGUCGUGCACUAUUUAUUAGAGGCCUGUUACACAAGUCGCACCUCCCAGACUGUCCAGCGCCCACUUCCCUAUUCUCUCUGCUGCUUCUCUCCCCCUACGGCCGGAGCCCACCGUUGUACUUCACUGGCUCUACACCUGCCGUUAGAUGCUGUUCUUUCUUCAGAAACCGGGCGCCUGGGUGGCUCAGUCGGUUGGGUGUCUGCCUUCAGCUCGAUCA